rnacentral:rRNA from 1 species
GAUAAACGCUGGCGGCGUGCCUAACACAUGCAAGUCGAACGAUCCCGCAAGGGAGAGUGGCGGAAGGGUGAGUAACACGUGGAAUCUACCUCCUCGCAGGGAACAACCUCUCGAAAGAGAGGCUAAUACCCAAAAGGGUCAGAAAUGAUCAGAGUCGAAAGACGUGAGGAGAGGAGCCCGCGGCCCAUCAGCUAGUUGGUGAGGCAAUGGCUUACCAAGGCUACGACGGGUAGGGGAUCUGAGAGGAUGUCCCCCACACUGGAACUGAAACACGGUCCAGACGCCUACGGGUGGCAGCAGUGAGGAAUAUUGGACAAUGGGCGAAAGCCCGAUCCAGCAACGCCGCGUGGAGGAUGAAGGCCUUGGGUCGUAAACUUCUUUAGAGGGAGACGAGAAAGGACGGUAU